CGAGACGCUGGCGGCGUGCCUCAAACAUGCAAGUCGAGCGGACGGAGACCGAACCGCAAGGGGAGGUUGAAGUUAGCGGCGAACGGGUGAGUAACACGUGGGUAACCUACCCUAAAGUCUGGGACAACGGCCCGAAAGGGCCGCUAAUACCGGAUAAUGUCUUCGGGUCGCAUGGCCUGGGGAAGAAAGCCGAAAGGCGCUUAUGGAUGGGCUCGCGUCCCAUCAGCUAGUUGGUAAGGUAACGGCUUACCAAGGCGACGACGGGUAGCCGGUCUGAGAGGAUGGUCGGCCACACUGGGACUGAGAUACGGCCCAGACUCCUACGGGAGGCAGCAGUUGGGAAUAUUGGGCAAUGGGCGAAAGCCUGACCCAGCGACGCCGCGUGAAGGAUGAAGGUCUUCGGAUUGUAAACUUCUAUCAGCAGGGAAGAAAGGGCCUAUGGCCUAUGACGGUACCUGACUAAGAAGCCCCGGCUAACUACGUG
rnacentral:rRNA from 1 species